AGGACGAACGCUGGCGGCGUGCUUAACACAUGCAAGUCGAGCGGAAAGGCCCUUCGGGUACUCGAGCGGCGAACGGGUGAGUAACACGUGAGUAAUCUGCCCCUAGCUCUGGGAUAGCUCCGGGAAACCGGGAUUAAUACCAGAUACGACCACUUUAGACAUCUGUUGUGGUGGAAAGAAUUUGGCUAGGGAUGAGCUCGCGGCCUAUCAGCUUGUUGGUGAGGUAACGGCUCACCAAGGCGACGACGGGUA
rnacentral:rRNA from 1 species